rnacentral:tRNA from 1 species
AGAAAAUUAGUUAAAAAAUAAUAUAAGGUUGUCAGUCUUACGUUACUAUUUGUAGUAUUUUCUA